AAUGAACGUUGGCGGCGUGGAUUAGGCAUGCAAGUCGAGCGAGGAAAGUUGUAGCAAUACGGCUUAUUCGAGCGGCGUAAGGGGCAGUAAUACCUGGGAACGUACCCUUUGGUCGGGGAUAGCUGCUGGAAACGGCGAGUAAUACCCGAUGAACUCGAGAGAGCAAAGGCUUGCCGCCGGAGGAGCGGCCCAGGCGAUAUUAGCUAGUUGGUGGGGUAAUGGCCUACCAAGGCUUAGAUGUCUAGCGGGUGUGAGAGCACGACCCGCGCCACUGGCACUGAGACACUGGCCAGACACCUACGGGUGGCUGCAGUCGAGAAUCUUCGGCAAUGGGCGAAAGCCUGACCGAGCGACGCCGCGUGCGGGAUGAAGGCC
rnacentral:rRNA from 1 species